CAGUGUCUGGGAUGCUGUUCUGAUUGCCAACUGGAACCUUUUGGGACUGAGGUGAAGCCACUUGCUUGAAUUAAGUGAUGAGAUGGACAAGGAACCAGUAAGUAAUUCUUACAUGGUUGAAGACCAGAAAAUACUUGAUGACAUGAUUAACUACUUGGACACAAUAUUUGAAGAUAUGAACCAACUCUAUGUGCAGACCCAGCUUCUCCUGUGUGAUAUGACUAUAUGCUUCAAUUCUCCAGUAAAUGCUGAAGCUGUCAAGCACCGUGAAGAAAGUUACAAGCAUCCUAAAGAAAUAUCAGAUCAGCACCAAUGUUAAAACAGUUAAAUGAGAUUAUCUUACAAGCCUCAAGUUUUGAUUAUAAAGAACAUUAAACAGUUAUAGUUUUUCAUGUUGGGUAUCUUGUGAAAA